rnacentral:rRNA from 1 species
AGCUCCAAUAGUGUAUAUUAAAGUUGUUGUGGUUAAAAAGCUCGUAGUUGGAUUUCUGCCAAGGACGACCGGUCCGCCCUGCGGGUGAAUAUCUGGGACGACCUGGGCAUCUUCAUGGAGAACGUGUCUGCACUUGACUGUGUGGUGCGGUAUCCAGGAUUUUUACUUUGAGGAAAUUAGAGUGUUUCAAGCAGGCCCACGCCUUGAAUACAUUAGCAUGGAAUAAUAAGAUAGGACCUCGGUUCUACUAUGUUGGUUUCUAGAGCUGAGGUAAUGAUUCAUAGGGAUAGUUUGGGGCAUUCGUAUUUAACAGUCAGAGGUGAAAUUCUUGGAUUUGUUAAAGACGGACUACUGCGAAAGCAUUUGCCAAGGAUGUUU